ensembl:misc_RNA Y_RNA Y RNA
GGCUGGUCCAAAUGCAAUGGUGUGUACAACGAAUUGAUAACAACCAGUUAACAGAUUUCCUUGUUCCUUCUCCACUUCCACUGCUUCACUUGACUAGCCUUAA